UACGUAGGGGGCAAGCGUUGUCCGGAAUCAUUGGGCGUAAAGAGCGUGUAGGCGGCCAGAUAAGUCUGCUGUGAAAACUCGAGGCUCAACCUCGAGCUGUCGGUGGAAACUGUCUGGCUAGAGUCCGGAAGAGGAGAGUGGAAUUCCUGGUGUAGCGGUGAAAUGCGCAGAUAUCAGGAAGAACACCUAUGGCGAAGGCAGCUCUCUGGGACGGUACUGACGCUGAGACGCGAAAGCGUGGGGAGCGAACAGG
rnacentral:rRNA from 1 species